UACGUAGGGUGCGAGCGUUGUCCGGAAUUACUGGGCGUAAAGGGCUCGUAGGCGGCCAACUAAGUCAGACGUGAAAUCCCUCGGCUUAACCGGGGAACUGCAUCUGAUACUGGAUGGCUUGAGUUCGGGAGAGGGAUGCGGAAUUCCAGGUGUAGCGGUGAAAUGCGUAGAUAUCUGGAGGAACACCGGUGGCGAAGGCGGCAUCCUGGACCGGCACUGACGCUGAGGAGCGAAAGCCAGGGGAGCAAAGCGGGAUUAAGAUGACCCUAGUA
rnacentral:rRNA from 1 species